UCUAGUGGCUGCCAAAAUUAGAGAGAGAAAGAGAGACUAGGACGUGAGUUAGAGAGAGGAGGAGAAGAAGGAAGAAAAGAAGAAGAAGAAGAAGGGAAGACCAAGUCUAGGGCUUGAACAAGGGGUGGUAAAGUUUGGGUGUUGAUCAAUUUGUGUUCUUGAUUUUACAAUCAAGAGAGGUAGCAAAUAGGUUUUCUCUGUGGCACGCGUGGUGAUGUGGGGAGUUCUAUCGUCCUGGUGUGUAUGGCGUGGGGGCAUCCUAUGGACGAAAAAUGAUCAAUUAAAAACGCCAUUUUUAAUAAUGUAAUGUUUUAUGAGACUUUUUUUUUUAAACUUAUCAGUGGGACUUGAAUUAUUGGUUGUUCUAGAACUUUGCAUAAAAACGGAUAUUUUCUUUUAAAACUAUUG